CCUACGGGGGGCAGCAGUGGGGAAUAUUGCACAAUGGGGGAAACCCUGAUGCAGCGACGCCGCGUGAGCGAAGAAGUAUUUCGGUAUGUAAAGCUCUAUCAGCAGGGAAGAAAAUGACGGUACCUGAGUAAGAAGCUCCGGCUAAAUACGUGCCAGCAGCCGCGGUAAGACGUAUGGAGCAAGCGUUAUCCGGAUUUACUGGGCGUAAAGGGAGCGUAGGCGGCCUGCCAAGUCUGAUGUGAAGACCGGGGCGCAACCCCGGGGCUGCAGUGGAAACUGGCAGGCUGGAGUGCCGGAGAGGCAGGCGGAAUUCCUAGUGUAGCGGUGAAAUGCUUAGAUAUCGCGCAGAACCCCGAUUGCGAAGGCAGCGUACCGGCUCCACACUGACGCUGAGGCACGAAAGCGUGGGUAUCGAACAGGAUUAGAUACCCGGGUAGUC
rnacentral:rRNA from 1 species